rnacentral:rRNA from 1 species
GAUGAACGCUGGCGGCGUGCCUAAUACAUGCAAGUAGAACGCUGAAGCUUGGUGCUUGCACCGAGCGGAUGAGUUGCGAACGGGUGAGUAACGCGUAGGUAACCUGCCUCUUAGCGGGGGAUAACUAUUGGAAACGAUAGCUAAUACCGCAUAAAAGUCGACAUCGCAUGAUGUUGACUUGAAAGGUGCAAUUGCAUCACUAAGAGAUGGACCUGCGUUGUAUUAGCUAGUUGGUGAGGUAACGGCUCACCAAGGCGACGAUACAUAGCCGACCUGAGAGGGUGAUCGGCCACACUGGGAGUGAGACACGGCCCAGACUCCUACGGGAGGCAGCAGUAGGGAAUCUUCGGCAAUGGGGGCAACCCUGACCGAGCAACGCCGCGUCAGUGAAGAAGGUUUUCGGAUCGUAAAGCUCUGUUGUAAGAGAAGAACGAGUGUGAGAGUGGAAAGUUCACACUGUGACGGUAACUUACCAGAAAGGGACGGCUAACUACGUG